rnacentral:rRNA from 1 species
AUGAACGCUGGCGGCGUGCCUAAUACAUGCAAGUCGAGCGAACGGACGAGGAGCUUGCUCCUCUGACGUUAGCGGCGGACGGGUGAGUAACACGUGGAUAACCUACCUAUAAGACUGGGAUAACUUCGGGAAACCGGAGCUAAUACCGGAUAAUAUAUUGAACCGCAUGGUUCAAUAGUGAAAGACGGUUUUGCUGUCACUUAUAGAUGGAUCCGCGCCGCAUUAGCUAGUUGGUAAGGUAACGGCUUACCAAGGCAACGAUGCGUAGCCGACCUGAGAGGGUGAUCGGCCACACUGGAACUGAGACACGGUCCAGACUCCUACGGGAGGCAGCAGUAGGGAAUCUUCCGCAAUGGGCGAAAGCUUGACGGAGCAACGCCGCGUGAGUGAUGAAGGUCUUCGGAUCGUAAAACUCUGUUAUUAGGGAAGAACAAAUGUGUAAGUAACUAUGCACGUCUUGACGGUACCUAAUCAGAAAGCCACGGCUAACUACGUG